rnacentral:rRNA from 1 species
UACGUAGGGUGCGAGCGUUAAUCGGAAUUACUGGGCGUAAAGCGUGCGCAGGCGGUUCGUUGUGUCGGCGGUGAAAACCCCGGGCUCAACCUGGGAAUGGCCGUUGAAACUGGCGAACUGGAGUGUGGCAGAGGGGGGUGGAAUUCCCGGUGUAGCAGUGAAAUGCGUAGAGAUCGGGAGGAACAUCUGUGGCGAAGGCGGCCACCUGGACCAGCACUGACACUGAGGCACGAAAGCGUGGGGAGCAAACAGG